rnacentral:rRNA from 1 species
CCUACGGGAGGCAGCAGUGAGGAAUAUUGGUCAAUGGCCGGAAGGCUGAACCAGCCAUGCCGCGUGAAGGUCAGUGCUCUAUGGGCGUUAAACUUCUUUUGUGCGGGAGCAAUAAUGGUCACGUGUGGCCAGACGAGAGUACCGUACGAAUAAACAUCGGCUAACUCCGUGCCAGCAGCCGCGGGAAUACGGGGGAGGCAAGCAGUAUCCGGAUUUAUUGGGGUUAAAGGGUGCGUAGGCUGUGAGGUAAGUCAGCGGUGAAAUGCCCCGGCUCAACGGGGUGAAGUGCCAUUGAUACUGGCUGGCUCGAGUUCGAGUGACGUAGGAGGAAUGUGUGGUGUAGCGGUGAAAUGCAUAGAUAUCACACAGAACACCGAUUGCGAAGGCAUCUCACGAAUCCGCGAUUGACGCUGAGGCACGAAAGCGUGGGUAUCAAACAGGAUUAGAUACCCGGGUAGUC